rnacentral:lncRNA from 1 species
ACUAAAGGAGCAAGAUAACUAAAAAAAAUUACACACUUUCAUAUAAUAAUUAAGAGCAAUACAAAUGACAUUAAUGAGAUGAUAUCUCAUUAUAUAAUUAGGUAAAAUUUAUCCAACUUAAAAGUCUAAGAGAGAUAUACUAAACAUUAACAAAACUAAGACAAUAAAAUGGAGAUUGCUUCUCAAAAUACCAUUGUAGAUGCAUUACUUUAGCAGCUAAUCUUGACUUCCACCUUCCACAACCUGUGUAAUAGAAAAAAAUAUAAGAUUUGAUUACAUACAUCAUCAUAUAUUAUUAAAAGUGGAAAGCUAUCAUAUAUCAUAUAUUAUUAAAAGUGGGAAGCUAAAAGGAGGAAACUAAUAAUGAAAAGGAUGAGGAGCACAUUGAGAAACAAAAUGCAAGUGGAAACAAUAUUGAAGCAGAACAAGUAACACUUCAUCAGAGUAUAUAAGUGAGCACCAAAAAAAAGAAGAUGAGAAAUCUACUGUGACUGCUAGAAUCGGCAAAAAGAAGAAGAAAAAUAAGAAAGAGAAAAAUUGCCUAAAAAGAAAGGCAAGGUCACUUUCAAACCUCCUAUGCCAAUAGAAACUGCCAACAAAAACUCCAAAAGGAAAAAUCCUGAGAGAGCUACUCCAGAAGAAGAAACGAGCAUAAACCAACAUAUUGAAUAUGAACAAAGACGGAAUAACAGGUUGAAGGAUGACACUGUAGACUAUGCACAACAAGACAAUGCCAUUCUGAAUGAGGCCAACUCUAAGGAUGUUGAUCAACAAGCCAGCAAGAUAAAUGAAGAUCAAGAACAUUAUGAUGAUGUAGAGGAGAGAACAUUCUAUCUGACCAGGAAGUUUCUAAAAGCUUGCCUACAGAGAUCAAAAACCAAAAAGGUAUCCAAUUAUAUGUUGAGCUGAAUGAAGAUAUACCUAUAACAUAUGAAGAUGAGAAAAUCAUACUAUCUGAUGAGGAAACCACUGGACAAAGUCAUAGGAACAAUAGGCUUAUCACAUCAGAUGUAGACGAAGAAAAUGUACAUGCACAAUCUUACCUUAGGAAGUAAUUAACCGAUAUGGUAUUUCUCCCGAUAGAGGUAGAAGCAAAUUGAGAAAAAAGUGCCAGAAACAAAGAGGAAAAACAGCCCCUGUCUAUACUGACCAAACAACUAAUAUUCACGAUGAGGAACCGCAUGGAAAAAGAGAGGAUAACGUCAACACUGAUUUAAGUGUCAACAUUAUCUUUAUCAAAAAAAAAAAAAGAUUCAAGUGUCUCAAAAAAUGUUUGUGCUGAAGCUAAAAUCCAAGAAGGAGGGCAACUGAUAGAUGAGUUGACAGAAGAUAUGAUUACUUCUCAAGGUGAACAACAUAUACUACAAUCAGAAAAAAACAGUGGCGUGGUACUUACCAAAUCAAAGUUGAACAAUGAGGAAGAAAAUGCACAAACUUACAGUAAGAAAGCAUUUGAUAACAAUAAUAACCAGACUCUUCUCCGGAUGAUUUCAUAGUUGCUACACAUGGUGAAAAACAGAAGCUGCAAUCAGAUGAUGACGCUGCUGAACAGAGUCACAGUCACAUGGAGCUCACCGACUCUAACUUGAACAAUGAAGAAGACCGUACUCAACCUCAUCUCAAAGAUACGUUUGAUUACGACGGUACAUCUACUAUCAAAAGAGGCAGAAGUAGACAACAAAGACUUGGAAAGAAACUGAGAGAUAAGACAUUUCCUUCCUCCAAAGGGAGACACUCCAAACAACCAACUUCCUCUAGUGACAUGCAAUAACAUAGCUAAUAUAAUUUCACAAGUGAGAUCUUCUUUUAGUUUUAUUUUGUGGAAGUAAAUAAUAGAGCAACGAUAUGCGCAGGCUCCACAUUUUUAGAUAGAGAUCACACAACAAAUAGGUAUACUAUAGAGUAUUCUUUUCGUUACUGAAGCUAUAUCAGUAAUACUAAUCAAAAAUACUAAUUGAAGAAUUCUGUUGUUUGGCACCUGCCUUCAUUAGGCACAAAUUUCCAACCAAGUUCAUGCCAAACAAGUUAACUAUUAGAAGUUAGCACUUUGUAAUUUUUACUCUUACUUCAUUUGUCCCCCAAGUUAUGCAAUAUAGAACUUUAGGAUAAUAAAUUAAACAGAACACAUUGGAGGUAUAAUGUGAACUUUAUCAUUGUCGACUAGGUGGAAUCAGUAGAAAAAUGACAAGCAAAUCAGCCAAGCACACCCUUUCUAUAUCCAGAAAUAUUAUGCUUGUCAGUUUCUGAAUAUAGGAAUUUCUUACUUAUAUGUUGUGAGAUGUAAUUAAAUGUAGAGCUCAAGCACACCAUAUAUUCCUUGUUAAUGUCCUGUUAUUACCAAAAACAUACUCACGUCCUUAGUGUCUCUCCACUGAUUCACUCUUGAUGUUUGGUUAUGUGAGUCUUCAAGACCAUCCAUCAUUUCAGGGUUCUUGAUGUAUUCGUUUCAUCUGCAAUCGUGAAAGAUAUUAAAUGUGUGCUGAUAAAUCACAACAAAUUUAGAUAAUUAUUUGUUAAGAGUAUUCCAACUACGCUAAGGCCUCUUCCCUUAAACAUAUUUCGUGAUCAAAAUCCAACAAGAAGAGUAAGCAUAUGAGCACCAGAUAUUCAAUAUACUGGAGGGGGAACAAUUGAAAAAGACAAGAGCUAAGUUGUUGUUUCUGAAUAUAUCUCUAUUUCUUGUAAUACUUAUCCAAUAAACCUUUAUUUCUAGAGUUGACAUGAUAAACUUUCUUGAUUUUAAUGAGAAGUAUUCUCGAGUAAUUGAAACAAGUUGCAGUAACACACCUCGAGCCAAUGUUCGAAUACCAGGCACUACGGCGCUGAAGUAACCCACACCAUACUCCCAGGAAAAGCUCGAACAGUUUUUUGAAGGUAGUAUUUAAUUACAUGACAUUAGAGAGAAGUAUGCUUUGACCAAAAAAGGGGGAAAACUCGAGAAAUUGUUUACAAUUUUACUGCGUGUUAUAUAAUUAUGUCCUUUCCCGUAGUAUUUGGACCAGAGACAGGUGUAGCAUGUCGCUACUAGGUUAAGAUAAAUCCAAUGCUUUCCAUACAUAACAUAAGCUUAUAUGUAAAAUUUACGUAAUUACAAUAAAUAGUAUAUAUGAACUCAUAACUUCAAAAAUAAAUGGGUUCAAUAAUAAGAGUUUUAAGAUUGAACCCAUAAAACAUAAAUUCUGAAUCUGCCUCUUAUUUGAAUCACAAACAAGAAUAAUACAAACAAUAUUAUUUUCACAAACACAUAAAGAUAAAGCAUAUAAAAAAAUGUAUCAUGUAGUAUCCUUAAAAUACCUCUCCAGGAAAUUUAAAGUAAAACAUACAAUAUUUACCUUUACAAGAUUUUGUUUGCAUACUUCAUCAUCGGGGUCUUUCACCUCAUCUGUUUUACAAAAUAGAAAUAAGAAACUAAAAAUAAAUAAAUUAGUAGCAGGCAAUAGUAGAUUCACUACCACAUAUCUUUACCUUUGCACAAACUUCCUUUUAUUUUUAGUCAAUCUUAUUUGUGCCUGCAUCUGAUACCUAUGAAAUAAACCUUUCAUUGAUAGCACAUAUCGAACACUCCCAAUAAUUUUGAGAAGAAUCCAUAGUUUUAGGGUAGAUCUGAUCCUUUUUACCGAAUGUCUCCUAAUAUUGUUUUUCUAAAAGCUCUUUUGUGUCUUUCAUUUCCAUAGUUCUUCUUGCUUAUACAAGCAUCUUCACUGGUUUGCACGGAAAAUGCAUGAAGUCUAGCAGAGAGAAAAAGAACCUGAUGGAUUGUUAAAGAUACAGAGGUGGGAAGAGAGACUACGGUAACACUCCAUCUUAUGCAAGGAUAGAAGAGGGGUUUUUGACUUUUGAGAGAGGGAACAGAGGAUUUGGGGGAAAUUAUUUGAUAUUUAUGUUUUUAC